UACGGGGGGGGCAAGCGUUGUUCGGAAUUACUGGGCGUAAAGGGCGCGUAGGCGGCCUGCUAAGUCGGGUGUGAAAACUCUGGGCUCAACCCAGAGCCUGCAUUCGAUACUGACGGGCUAGAGUUCUGGAGGGGAAAGCGGAAUUCCUGGUGUAGCGGUGAAAUGCGUAGAUAUCAGGAGGAACACCGGCGGCGAAGGCGGCUUUCUGGACAGAAACUGACGCUGAGGCGCGAAAGCUAGGGGAGCAAACAGG
rnacentral:rRNA from 1 species